rnacentral:siRNA from 1 species
ACCCGUUCUCACCGAACUCCCA